rnacentral:rRNA from 1 species
CGAGGGGUAUUGGUUUUCGGACCAAGAGACCGGCGCACGGGUGCGUAACGCGUAUGCAAUCUACCUUUUACAGAGGGAUAGCCCAGAGAAAUUUGGAUUAAUACCUCAUAGUAUUACGACUCGGCAUCGAGAUGUAAUUAAAGUCACAACGGUAAAAGAUGAGCAUGCGUCCCAUUAGCUUGUUGGUAAGGUAACGGCUUACCAAGGCAACGAUGGGUAGGGGUCCUGAGAGGGAGAUCCCCCACACUGGUACUGAGACACGGACCAGACUCCUACGGGAGGCAGCAGUGAGGAAUAUUGGUCAAUGGGCGCAAGCCUGAACCAGCCAUGCCGCGUGCAGGAUGAAGCAUCUAUGGUGUGUAAACUGCUUUUGUACGAGAAGAAACACUCCUUCGUGAAGGAGCUUGACGGUAUCGUAAGAAUAAGGACCGGCUAACUCCGUGCCAACAGCCGCGGUAAUACGGAGGGUCCAAGCGUUAUCCGGAAUCAUUGGGUUUAAAGGGUCCGUAGGCGGUUUUGUAAGUCAGUGGUGAAAGCCCAUCGCUCAACGGUGGAACGGCCAUUGAUACUGCAAGACUUGAAUUAUUGGGAAGUAACUAGAAUAUGUAGUGUAGCGGUGAAAUGCUUAGAGAUUACAUGGAAUACCAAUUGCGAAGGCAGGUUACUACCAAUAUAUUGACGCUGAUGGAC